rnacentral:rRNA from 1 species
CCCUUAGAUGUUCUGGGCCGCACGCGCGCUACACUGAUGCAUUCAACGAGUCCAACCUUGACCGAGAGGUCCGGGUAAUCUUUGAAACUGCAUCGUGAUGGGGCUAGAUUAUUGCAAUUAUUAAUCUUCAACGAGGAAUGCCUAGUAAGCGUGAUUCAUCAAAUCGCGUUGAUUAUGUCCCUGCCCUUUGUACACACCGCCCGUCGCUCCUACCGAUUGAGUGUGUUGGUGAGGAGUUUGGAUUGGCCUCGGAAGGUGGUUCGCCACCGUCCGUAGCUGAGAAGUUCUCCAAACCGCCCCACUUAGAGGAAGGAGAAGUCGUAACA